AUUGAACGCUGGCGGCAGGCCUAACACAUGCAAGUCGAACGCGUGGCGGACGGGUGAGUAAUGUCCGGGAAACUGUCUGAUGGAGGGGGAUAACUACUGGAAACGGUAGUUAUUAUCGCAUACCAGCAGAUGUGUCCAGAUGGGCUUAGCGAGUUGGUGGGGUAACGGCUCACAAAGGCGACGAUCCCCAGCGGGUGUGAGAGGAUGACCCGCCACACUGGAACUGAGACACGGUCCAGACUCCUACGGGAGGCAGCAGUGGGGAAUAGUGCACAAUGGGCGCAAGCCUGAUGCAGCCAUGCCGCGUGUGUGAAGAAGGCCUUCGGGUUGUAAAGUACUUUCAGCGGGGAGGCGUUACCCGCAGAAGAAGCACCGGCUAACUCCGUGCCAGCAGCCGCGGUAAUAC
rnacentral:rRNA from 1 species